rnacentral:lncRNA from 1 species
CUUUCUUGCUCACUGAGUUUUUCUCCCCUAAAUGGGCAUGAUGUAAGUGCUGACUGUAUUGAGUCUUCGUAAUGACUUUGCUAUCUAAACUGGCAAUUAUCAAUGCCUGAAUGAGACUCAAAGGCUCGCAUGCUUUGCCCAUUGCCUGAGGCUCUUGUAACGCUUGAGGAUGCCCUGAUUAACACAGCAGCAUCCUCUCACCCGCACUCAGGCGAACGAUAGGAUGCAUGACAUUAAAACAAGGAUAAGCUGAGCGUUCCUGUUCGAACUGGGAAAGGUGUGAUGAUGGAGGGGCGAGAGAUGGUAUCUGCCGCACUGCAGACACAAGGCGUUUUUUACAACACUUUGCGGGUUUACAUCGCCAAGGUCUGGAAACAGAGUUUCAGAAAUUCUGCUUUUGCAGGAACAGGUCAAGAUCUGAGCCAGCUACGCAGGCCAAGUGAACUUUGUGCCUCUGGAGGCAAGAUGUUGCAACACUCACCGAGACAGAACAGCGCGGAUGGCAGAACAACGUUUUUUCCUCCCUUUUUUAAUCCUUGAUGACGAGGAAGAGGAUUGGACAAAAUAGAAUAUGCUACUGGGCGAAGAAACGGACAGAACAAGAAAAGCAAGUUUUACUAAACGUCUCCUCGUUAUAAGAACCUUUAUUUUUUUAUCUUUUGUCCCAGAAUCAUCAGGAAAAUAGCUAGAAUGGCACUGAAAUUCCUGAUGGGAGCAGCCUGAGAAAGGGUACUGCAGAUCCUGUACGUUUCCUGAAAGAGCGGUUUUCUGCAUUUUCCUGCUGUCGUGACUGUGUUUCCAGGUUAUCGCUCACCCCAGGCGUGUGAAGCUGCUGGUGCAGUAAGAACUCCACCCCCGUCCAGCCUUCCUGAAAUACGUCUUCGUUAUUAGGGCAGGUUUUGUAUUUGAUCAAUGAAUUUUGUUCACUGUUUGUUAUCAGUAAAUUCAUGCUUAAAAGGAACCUGUAAACUGAGGAGAAACUCCCUUCGGGAGGCAUCAUUGUGAAUUUGGCAAGUAGGUAUCUGUAUGUGACAUGAGCUGAAUAAAAAG